rnacentral:lncRNA from 1 species
UCCAGAGCAUGCAUUGGAUAAAGGUCUGCCGUGUAUAAAUGAGUGAUUGCAUUGUGGAUUUUUCCUCUUUUAGGUUACUCUCUGUGACCAGCAAUGUCGGGGACGCUCAGGCCUUGCUCACUGUGAUUUUCGAUAAUAAGAUUGCCACUGUGGAACCUCAGUUCAGUGCCAAGGACCUCUUUGAAUGCCUGUCCCAACCAGACUACAGGGAAAAGCUGUGUGUGGGAGGAGCCCAGCUGAUGGAGCUAAGAACAAAUCUGGAUUGCUGUGCUGCUGCUGUGUGUGGUCGGAGUGGAAGCAAUACCUAAACCUGGGAUUUAAAAACAUCCAAACUACACUGACUUACUGACUAUACCAAAUAUAAUAAAUGGACAUUAAUGACAUUAAUAGAUAGUGGG